CUCCUGGAAACGGGUGGUAAUGCCGGAUGCUCCGACAUGACGCAUGUCGUGUUGGGAAAGAUUCAUCGGUAUGGGAUGGGGUCGCGUCCUAUCAGCUUGAUGGCGGGGUAACGGCCCACCAUGGCUUCGACGGGUAGCCGGCCUGAGAGGGCGACCGGCCACAUUGGGACUGAGAUACGGCCCAGACUCCUACGGGAGGCAGCAGUGGGGAAUAUUGCACAAUGGGCGCAAGCCUGAUGCAGCGACGCCGCGUGCGGGAUGACGGCCUUCGGGUUGUAAACCGCUUUUGACUGGGAGCAAGCCCUUCGGGGUGAGUGUACCUUUCGAAUAAGCACCGGCUAACUACGUGCCAGCAGCCGCGGUAAUACGUAGGGUGCAAGCGUUAUCCGGAAUUAUUGGGCGUAAAGGGCUCGUAGGCGGUUCGUCGCGUCCGGUGUGAAAGUCCAUCGCUUAACGGUGGAUCCGCGCCGGGUACGGGCGGGCUUGAGUGCGGUAGGGGAGACUGGAAUUCCCGGUGUAACGGUGGAAUGUGUAGAUAUCGGGAAGAACACC
rnacentral:rRNA from 1 species